AUGGACGCUCUCUCCCUGCAGAGAAAACUCAAGCCGCACUGUAUGCAGCCACCACAACCUCAAGCCGAGCUCCCGCGCCCACCGGCGAGAUCUGGUCCCGAACCCCCGCAGCAGGGCGUCGUCGGAGGGCUGGCCACGACCACGCCGAUCCGGAGCCCGGAGAGCCCUGGUGCAAAUCAACGCGGAGAGCCCAACCAGCCCCCGCGCGCUCAGGCCCGGCCACCACGAGCCCAUACGCAGACGUGA
rnacentral:rRNA from 1 species